GUAUACUUUCAUUUUGUAGACUCGAAAGUUUGCAAACUGCUGGGGCUGUACUGUAAGUUUCCUUUACUGCAGCUCUGCACCCAGAAGACAGAAUAUAAAUGUCUGACUUGCAUGGAUAAAUAUGAAACGAGCUGAUGUAUGUGGUGUGCUGCGGAGUAUUUGCAAAGGCUGGGGACCCUCGAUCAAGAUCGAGGUCCAAUAGCAGCAGGGGAAGAUUCAGAGAUUCCAGAUGGAUGACACUGGUGAAGAUCCUUGGAGGUUUGGAAGUCCAGUAUUUUGCCAGAUAGUUGAAAAGAGCAAAUGCAGUGCCCGUGGUCGGAGGAGAAAAGGGCUCAACGCGUUUCGCUGGUCUAGAUCACCGCCAGCUUCCUCAGGAGCAUAUGUCUUGGAUGAAUCCAGACAGAUAUAUAUACCCUCAUAAUUAUGGAUUUUGUGGGAUGACCAAUACUUUUGAGACUCCACCUUAUCAAUUCACUAAUAGUCAUGGAUAUCAUUGUGCUACUCAGUGCCAACUGUGUGUAUGGAAUAUGGCUACUGAUUUCAUUAUGGGCACAUUAUUUAUAGAUAUUACUCCUUUUUAUUUAACACUUUUUAUCAUGCCUUAAAAGCAAUAUAUCAGUGUUGUAUGAGCAUCAUUGUAAAGAUUUCUGCUUCUUUGGGUGCAAAUCCAUUUGAGUACAAAAGCAGCCAAUCCAACCUGGAAACUAAUCUCAGAUACAUAAUUCAGGCGUGCACUCACCAGUAUGUAGAAAAUCCAACAAGUGAAUGGAGGCAUCACAAUAUUACGUUAGUCUGUUGCUUCGACGCUCUACUACAGGGACCUCCAUCGGAGUAUAUCUAUUAGUUAAUUGGAUGCGGUACUUGAUCCCCCCCUUCCCAUUGUACGUGCUCUGCCCCCCCCCCCCCAUUUUUCACCACUCUAUCCUGACCCACCACCUCCGUUCUGACCUCCACUGCACCUCCCCCGACAUCGCUCCGCCCAAUUCCCAGUUUUCCAAUCUGCGUGUAUUGAGGUGACAGGACAGACCUUCUAUAGUUAUUAUAUAGAUGGGAUGCCGGCGGUCAUGUGAUCGAUGCUGAAAUCCUGACAGCCGACAUCCCAAAGGUAAGUAUCGGGGACACUUAGGUUUAGGGCCCAGGUGGGGUGGUUAGGGUUAGGCACUAGCGUGGGGUUAGGGUUACGCAUUGGGGUAGGGGGUUUCAGCCCUAGCCGCCAUAUACCCCCUCCCAACCGAGGCUUAGCUCUAGUCUACACCCCUGGAGGGGUUGAGGAGGGGGAGGCGGGUAAAAACACUUACCCCCUCUGACGUCAGGAUCUUCAUUGUUGGGAUGCCGGUGUCGUACAUGUAUUUAUGCAAGGAUCUAGGUGAAUGUAUGUCCUGUAGAAAUGGUGUGAAUUUUUGUCCUAACUAGCGUCUAACUUUAAUACUACAGAAUGGGGAUAGAAGAAGUUAAAUUUGAAUCAUGGUGAUUUUUUUUUUCUUUUCCAAAUAUGUUUAUUAAAUACCUCCAACAUACAGUACAGAAAUGAGAAAAGAACAGCAUGUAUAUCAGACAUAUCAACACCGUAAUAAUCAGAUAAAGAUAAUAAAAGUAUACAGCAUAUGUAAGUAA